UAAGGAAUAUUGGUCAAUGGACGCAAGUCUGAACCAGCCAUGCCGCGUGGAGGAUGAAGGUCCUCUGGAUUGUAAACUUCUUUUAUCUGGGACGAAACACUUCUUUUCUAAGAGGCCUGACGGUACCAGAUGAAUAAGCACCGGCUAACUCCGUGCCAGCAGCCGCGGUAAUACGGAGGGUGCAAGCGUUAUCCGGAUUCACUGGGUUUAAAGGGUGCGUAGGCGGAUAGGUAAGUCCGUGGUGAAAUCUCUCGACUUAAUCGGGAAACUGCCAUGGAUACUAUUUAUCUUGAAUGUUGUGGAGGUUAACGGAAUAUGUCAUGUAGCGGUGAAAUGCUUAGAUAUGACAUGGAACACCAAUUGCGAAGGCAGUUAACUACACAAAUAUUGACGCUGAUGCACGAAAGCGUGGGGAUCAAACA
rnacentral:rRNA from 1 species